UACGUAGGGGGCAAGCGUUAUCCGGAUUUACUGGGUGUAAAGGGAGCGUAGACGGCAGGGCAAGUCUGGAGUGAAAGGCAGGGGCCCAACCCCUGGACUGCUCUGGAAACUGUCCGGCUGGAGUGCAGGAGAGGUAAGCGGAAUUCCUAGUGUAGCGGUGAAAUGCGUAGAUAUUAGGAGGAACACCAGUGGCGAAGGCGGCUUACUGGACAGUAACUGACGUUGAGGCUCGAAAGCGUGGGGAGCAAACAGG
rnacentral:rRNA from 1 species